rnacentral:rRNA from 1 species
GACGAACGCUGGCGGCGUGCUUAACACAUGCAAGUCGAACGGAGGGGCUCGAGCUUGCUGGCGUGGAUCAGUGGCGAACGGGUGAGUAACACGUGUGCAACCUGCCCCUGUCUCAGGAAUAAGAGCUGGAAAAGGCGGCUAUUACAGGAUACGAAACUGUGCACCAUGGGCUUCGAUAGGGAAGUACGGUGGUUUUGGAUUGGCUCGAUGCAUAACAGCUGCUUGGUGAAGUAAUGGCUCACCAAGGUGACGACGGGUAGCCUGCCUGUGCGGGCGACCGGCGACACUGGGACUGAGGCACGGCCCAGGCUCCUACGCGUGCGCGCAGUGGGGAAUAUUGCACGAUGGACGCAAGGCUGAUGCAGCAGCUCCGCGUGUGGUAUGACGGCCUUCGGGUUGUAAACCUCUUUCGGCAGGGAAGAAGCGAAAGUGACGGUACCUGCAGAAGAAGCCCCGGCCAACUACGUG